rnacentral:pre_miRNA from 1 species
UGAUGAUGAUGAUCAUGAUGAUGAUGAUGAUGAUGAUGAUGAUCAUGAUGAUGAUGAUGAUGAUCAUCAUCAUCAUCAUGAUGAUGAUGAUGAUGA